rnacentral:rRNA from 1 species
UACGUAGGGUGCAAGCGUUGUCCGGAAUUAUUGGGCGUAAAGAGCUCGUAGGCGGUUCGUCGCGUCGGCUGUGAAAUCCCGGAGCUCAACUCCGGGUCUGCAGUCGAUACGGGCGGACUCGAGUUCGGCAGGGGAGACUGGAAUUCCUGGUGUAGCGGUGAAAUGCGCAGAUAUCAGGAGGAACACCAGUGGCGAAGGCGGCUUCCUGGUCUGCAACUGACGCUGUGGCGCGAAAGCUAGGGGAGCAAACGGG